rnacentral:miRNA from 1 species
GUGGGUGAACAUACAAUCUAUCUCUCUCUCUCUCUCUCUCUCUCUCACACACACACACACACACACACAGAGAGAGAGAGAGAGAGAGAGAGAGAGUUGUAAAUAUCAAAG